GUAGCACCAGGGGACCCAGAUGGAAAGAUUUGUAUACCAGCUCAGACCAGCUAAGGUGAACAUACACACACACAGUUAUAGCCAUAGCCUUAAUCUAUCUGCUCAAAUCUGUGUGUCCACACAUUUCGCUGCUCUGUGUGUGUGUGUUUAGGUCAGACUCAGUGGAAGAUGAUAGCUAUGAAUAUGAAGGUGAGUUUUUCAUUGGUUAUUGGCUGCUCUUUACGACCAAUUAAAAGGUGUGGGUGUGGGUGUCUGUUUUGAUGUUUUGUGCGUGUUUCAGAGGGGAAGCAGAAUGGUGAGUCUGUCAGGCUGUACGUGUCAGAGGAAGAGAGGAUCCUCAACUCUGCAGACCUGAGUUCAGAGGAGAGGCGUGAUGUUCUAGCAGAGUUGGUGUAUUCCCGAAGCAGACUGAAGCAAUUGAACUCAGAGCUGCAGAGAACAGUAGAGGUAGCCGAUGACAACAACACACUGCUACGCACCGAGAACACUGCCCUGCGCAACCAAGUCAAAGGGAUGAAGCAAUCGAUCCAUGAUGCAGAGCAGCUGAUGGACGAGCUGGAGGAGAUCCGGAGCCUAUUGGUUGAGAAAGACGAUGCUACGGGCAAUCUGGAGGCCUACAUCAAACAACUGGAGAAAGAGAAGGAGAUUUUGGAGGACCAGAUCGAAACCAUCGGCAGUGAGGUAUGAUGACCUAACUCUUGACCUUUGACCCUGGUAAAACAGACAAAUUGAACGUUUCACUGGCCAGCCAAUAUGGAGGCAUAAUACACAUUGUUGUCAAAACAUAACAGAACUUUUCUAUUCUAUUCUCUUCUCUCUCGUUCUGUC
rnacentral:lncRNA from 1 species